rnacentral:lncRNA from 1 species
CAGCACCACUCUGGUGGCUCCUAAGUCUCUGAUCAUGUCAGGGCUGAUUUCUCCAGUGAAGGCCCCAUUGGUCACUUUGUAGCAGUUCUGUGCAGCCACAGCAAUCUUGGGAUCCAGCUUCUGCCUAGCGAAGUCGAUGUAAGAGGUUGUCAGUGCACAACCCACCUCAGUGUCUGCCAGCACACUGGCUGCCUUCGGGGUGCAGCUGAGUUCUCCCAGGCACUGCUUCCUCCCGUUCAUCUUCCAGUUGCCCCCCACGAAGAGCUUCCUGGAAGGCACCAUCAUACUAAGCUCAAGUCUCUGAAAGUAUGCAGCAGUGACUAGGAAGAACGUUCCCCGGGAUGCUCUACUUACAAAUCUCAUCCUCCAG